rnacentral:ncRNA from 1 species
UACGCGCCGCUACGCCCGGGUGCGGGAAGCCGGUGAGAAUCCGGCACGGUCGCGCCACUGUCAGCGGGGAGCCGCCAUUUGUCACUAUCGCCUCGGCGACGGGAAGACAGACGGCAAGAGGCAACGAUCCGCAGAGUCAGGAUACCGGUCCCGGAGCGCUUUGCAUCA